CCUACGGGGGUCUGCAGUCGAGAAUCUUCGGCAAUGGGCGCAAGCCUGACCGAGCGACGCCGCGUGGAGGACGAAGGCCUUCGGGUUGUAAACUCCUGUCGAGGGGGAUGAAGGGCCGGCGAAGAGCCGGCCUUGACAGAUCCCUGGAGGAAGCACGGGCUAAGUUCGUGCCAGCAGCCGCGGUAAGACGAACCGUGCGAACGUUAUUCGGAUUCACUGGGCUUAAAGCGCGUGUAGGCGGCCCGGCACGUCGGUCGUCGAAAGCCCCCGGCUCAACCGGGGAAUCGGCGCCGAGACGGCCGAGCUGGAGGGGUGUAGGGGGGCCUGGAACUUCCGGUGGAGCGGUGAUAUGCGUUGAGAUCGGAAGGAACGCCCGAGGCGAAAGCGAGGCCCUGGACACUUACUGACGCUGAGACACGAAAGCCAGGGGAGCAAACG
rnacentral:rRNA from 1 species